GUCCUGAGUCAUACUCUCAACCUGAAAAGGAUUUGCUCUCCUAUAUUUACAGGGGUAGUCAGGCCGGCUCUCUUGAAAUACAGAAAGCCCUGUCUCCGGGCCUCAGUCCCCAUGGUUUUUACUCCUUCUCUGCCUCAGUAACAAGGACAUCUGGGACCUUACAACAAUCCGCCAAGACUCCAGUGUUUUUAUGAUGGAGUCUUUCUGCAGAGGAGAGGUCAGAGUCCAUGCACUCACUCCUUGCAGCCACAUGGCCACGUUGUGGUAUGCAGUUACCCAGACACAGCUCCACUACCACAGUGGCUCAGACCACCUCCGAGGUUUCAUUAUCAUCGCUGGGACUCACUAAUGGCUUGACGGCUUCACUGAGCGGGCAGCUGGAGAGGAGGAUCCAGGGAAAACGGAAAAGAAGAAGAAGCAAAGGGAGGAGAACAGGGGUAAAAGGAAAUCAGGGGGUCGGGGGGAACGAGUCAUGGAGGAGAAAGAGAUUAACAUGAGGGACAAUACGAUGAAGUUCAACUGCUUCCUUGAAAAUCAGCAGAGACUGAAGGAGGAUGAAGCAACAGGGCAAAAGUAAUGUCAAAGAGCCGGUAUGGAGAUCUGACAGAGUGCUCUCUGCACGGCUCGGUGACCAUGCCUGAAAAAUGUUUGAAGUGUAUAAAUGCUCUUCCCAUACAUCCACAUCUCCACCUUGUAUGUUUGCAACAGCUAACCUCACAACAUGCAGACGGACCGGGGGAGGAAAUUCAGCUCCACUUUUUGCUUUCCAGACAAAUGACACCCUGACAGUUGGAAAAAUGUUGGGGUCCCUGAACAGAUUUCUCAGUUAUAAAAAUAAAAUGUGUUGGAUUAGACAAAGACAGACAUUUUAUAUUCUACUUUUGAACCCCAACGAGAGCACUGACAAAUGCCACCCCACCCCCACUCCGUCUGUGCCAUAAUUGUUGUUUUUUUUCCUUCUCUCUCUCCAGAAAUGUCAUAUAGUUAAGAGGUGAUAAAUCUAUAUGGCAUAAACAGACACUGAUUUCUCCCAAGUGUAUGUAUAGCAUAUAGGCUGACAGAUUGAGAUGGUGUUUGUCUUUGCAUCAUGCUAAAUUGGCAUAAAUGUAGUUUUUUUUUCUAUACUAAGAAAGAAAUUGGGAGAAAUCUUAAAUAUAGUUUAAACUGAAAUGGAACAAACACACACAGCUUAAAAAUAAGAUGAAAAUCUUGAAAUUUUAUUGCUUAAUAGCUAAUUCAUGCUGUGCUUGUUGGUGUGUAUGUUUAGUGUGAGUAACACUGUUUGCAUCAUAUGUCAAACGCAUAUUGUAUAAAUGCUAAUGAUGUCAAUUUGAAUAUUAUAAUGCAUAAUUUCUUUCCAUCUGUCAAGACAAACACGUUAAUCAGGAUAAAAUCACCUUAAAAAAUAAAAUUAUUGUAAAAUCUGAAAAUUCAAUGUCUUUAUCGUGGCUAUUCAUACUUUUAACCUAUCAAACAA